rnacentral:rRNA from 1 species
CUCAGUAACGGCGAGUGAAGCGGCAACAGCUCAAAUUUGAAAUCUGGCCCCAGGCCCGAGUUGUAAUUUGCAGAGGAUGCUUUUGGUGCGGUGCCUUCCAAGUUCCCUAGAACGGGACGCCAGAGAGGGUGAGAGCCCCGUACAGUUGGACACCAAGCCUUUGUAAAGCUCCUUCGACGAGUCGAGUAGUUUGGGAAUGCUGCUCAAAAUGGGAGGUAUAUUUCUUCUAAAGCUAAAUACCGGCCAGAGACCGAUAGCGCACAAGUAGAGUGAUCGAAAGAUGAAAAGCACUUUGAAAAGAGGGUUAAACAGCACGUGAAAUUGUUAAAAGGGAAGCGCUUGUGACCAGACUUGCGUCCGGUGAAUCACCCAGCUCUCGCGGCUGGGGCACUUCGCCGGCUCAGGCCAGCAUCAGCUCGCUGUCGGGGACAAAAGCUUCAGGAACGUAGCUCUCUUCGGGGAGUGUUAUAGCCUGUUGCACAAUACCCUUCGGCGGGCUGAGGUACGCGCUCCGCAAGGAUGCUGGCAUAAUGGUCAUCAGCGACCCGUCUUGAAACACGGACCAAGGAGUCAACCUUAUGUGCGAGUGUUCGGGUGUCAAACCCCUACGCGUAAUGAAAGUGAACGCAGGUGAGAGCUUCGGCGCAUCAUCGACCGAUCCUGAUGUUCUCGGAUGGAUUUGAGUAAGAGCAUAUAGGGUUGGACCCGAAAGAAGGUGAACUAUGCGUGUAUAGGGUGAAGCCAGAGGAAACUCUGGUGGAGGCUCGCAGCGGUUCUGACGUGCAAAUCGAUCGUCAAAUAUGCGCAUGGGGGCGAAAGACUAAUCGAACCUUCUAG